rnacentral:rRNA from 1 species
GAUGAACGCUGGCGGCGUGCUUAACACAUGCAAGUCGAACGGAAAGGCCCAAGCUUUCUUGGGUGCUCGAGUGGCGAACGGGUGAGUAACACGUGGGUGAUCUGCCCUGCACUUCGGGAUAAGCCUGGGAAACUGGGGCUAAUACCGGAUAGGACCACAUGUUGGAUGGUGGGGGUGGGAGUUUUUCGGUGGGGGGUGAUCUCGCGGCUUAUCAGCUGGUUGGUGGGGUAGUGGCUAACCAAGGGGUCGACGGGAGGCGGGCUGGGGGGGGGGACGGCCGACAUUGGGAUUGGGAAACGCCCCAGAUCCUAACGGGGGGAGGAGGGGGGAAAUAUGGCCCAUGGGCGGGAGGCUGAUGCCAGCAAGCCGGGGGGGGGGAGGCGGGCUUUGGGUUGGUAAAUCCUUUCGGCAGGGGAGAAGGGUUAUGUGACGGUAACUGGUGAAGAAGCACCGGCUAACUACGUG